CUUUGAUAAAUACUUUGUUCAAGUAUAGGUGAAAUGACUGUUGAGAAUAUUAUAGAGAUUUAUGCUUCAGAUAAGGGGCUGGAUUAGACCAGGAAUUCUUAAACUUUUUCCACUCAUGAUGCCUUUUCACCUGAGAAAUUUUUACAUGACCCUUGAUAUAUGGAUAUAUAUAAAAUAGGUAUACAAAUUAUUACUGAUAAUAAAUCAUAAUUUCAUAACCUCCACAUUGUUACAAGACUCCAUAUGGGGUUGUGAACCACAAUUUAAGAAGAUGGGACUAGUUGGCCUAAGAAGACCCUUCCAAUUUGAAGAUUCUGUGAUUUUAAUUGUAUUUUCCCCCUCUUAUUCUUUUAGAGAUCAGAAACAUCUGGCUUGCUUAUUCAUGACCUGUCAGAAAAACGUAUUGUUGGAGCUGAGAUGGUUUGGUAGAUGCAAGCUUGGAAACAAGGAGUUUCUCUGUUCAUGAACUCAAGAAAUUGGAGAAAUUGGGGGAAAUGGAGUUACCUUCCAGGAAAAUCUGCCAAAGAGAUGUGGGGAAAAAAUUCUGCAAAGAAGAAUUUUCGUUCACUGGAAUCCAGUUAGAAUCAACUGAGAGAAGAGAUGACAUACAACGAACAGGUAAGGCAAAAAGUAACUCUACAGUUUUUCACUUUGGAUUUACAAGCGACACCUACAUGUUCGUUCUUAACUUUGACUGGCCUUCCCUCACUUUUUUUUCUUGGAAUUCUGAAACCUGACUGGGACAAGAAGAGGUGGUGACUUAUAGAUAUUCAAGAGUUUUGAUUCACUUAUUUUGCUUUUAUCUUUAAAAAAUGGUUUGGCAAAACAGAAAAAAAAAGUUAAAUAAUUUUUCCCCCCUGUUCAAUAGAAGCAGAAAAUUGCCUCAUCUGAUGAUUUUUUUUUUGGUUUAUUGAUUACAUUUGGAGCUCACUUUGAUACCCUGAAUUAUAUCCCUUAUAUGUUCAAAGAGACAGGUCAUUUCUUCCUCUGUUCUUUUGAAGUGUGCUGUUGUUGUUUAGUUGUUUGAGUCAUCUUCGACUCUUUGUUACCCCAUUUGGGUUUGGUUCAGUUUUGGGUUUUUUGUAAAGAUACUGGAGUGCCUUGCUUUUCCUUUCUCUGAUCAUUUUACAGAUGUGGAAACUCAGGCAAACAGGAUUAAGUGAUCUUAGGGCCACACAGCUAGUUAGUGACUGUCUAAGACUGUAUUUGAACUCAAGUUUUUUAGACUCCAUAUCUAGUGUCCUAUCCACUCUACUACCUAAGUGCUUUUUGAAGCUUGCUACCUUGUGGCAAAAAAAAAAAAAAAAAAAAAAAAGAAAGAAAAGAAAAGAAAAGAAAAAAUUAGUUUUUAGAGCAGUGAUUCCAUUUCUUUUAAAAAAUACAGGUAAACUCAUUUCAGUGAAUACAAUUAUAAUGUCUAAUUUAAGGGAUUUGUUUGUUUAUUAGGUCCAGAUUUAUGAUUUCAUUAGUUACUCCCAUUAUAGAAACUGCAUCAAUCAAUGCAUAUAACUAAUUUCUCCUUAAUUUAAAGUCUUAGAAGCUGUUUCCAUGUUUCUGUUGAUGUUACUAACCAACAGUAUUUGCCAAAGUGAAUAUAGAUGUGAAGCUAAAUAGGAUAUAUAGUCCUGGAAAAGAACAUAUAACUUAAAAUUAUUUAACUAGCACCAUUAAGUCUAUAAGAAGUUAGAAGAUAGGGAUCUGUAACUAAGAUUUGAUAAACGUCCUAAAAGUAUAUUUAAGCACAAAAUAUUAUAGUAUAAUUAAUAGCCAUUGGCUGACCUACCAUGUAAAUAUGAAGUAAAAUACCUUUUAAGUGGAAUAGAUCACAUGUGUGUAUAAAUUACAUAUGUGGGAAAACAUUCAUGUGUGUGUAUGUCUAUGUAAAACUGUGGUAUGCAUGUUAAUUCAUGUAACUUAAACUCACUAAUCCAUAAAGUCACUUUAUUGAAGCACAGAUGAUAACAAUUCACCUUUAGGUUGUGCUUUAAAUUUUAUAAAGAAUUUCCCUCACAACUUGAGGUGUCUUCCAUCCCUAUAGAUUAUAGAUAAGAAAACUGAGGUUGAAAAAAAGACCAAAUGACUGGUCCAGGACAAUACAAAUAUCAAAAAAAAAUUUGAACCCAGAUAUAUUAAUCACAUAUUCACACCCCUUUUAGGAAUAUGUUUCAUGAUGAUAUUUGUUAGAAUUUACAUGUGGUGAUUUAAUUGAUUUUUUCCCACCCUGGAUCAUGAUUUUAUCAGUUGUAGGGCACUGCAGGUGAAGAAACACUCUUUGCUAGGGGCAACUUUUAACCAGUUUUCAAUCCAAAAAAAAAAACUUUACCAGAAGUGAUUAAGCCCAACGUCACACUAAGACUGACUCUAUCAACUAUGUGUGUUGCCUCUCACAAUUAUUUUGAAAUACUUCAAAAGUGUUAUAUACAUAGAUGACUGCAUAUAUGCAGAUAUUUAUGUAUAUAUAUAUAUAUGCAUAUAUAUAGCAUUCCAAAAUUAUUGUGUAUGUAUAUAAUUUAUAAUAUGUGUAUGCUAUAUAAUAUAGUGUAUACAAGUAUCUAUAUGUAUAUAUAUGUAUUUAUAUAAAUAUACAUUACACCACAUACAAGUGUUCCCUAUAUGAUAUAUAAUAUAUAGGAAUACUUAAUUAAUAUGUAUAUAUUCACUUUUCCCCAGUGAAGCAGGUUCAGGGAUGGAAGCAGAUACGAUGCCCUCUAGAGAGAGGGUAGAGGGGUAGGAGGGCAAAAAGGAGAUACCACCUUUCUAGAGACAGAACAGUUGAGCAGCUAACAUAAAUCAAAUACAGGGAGGAGAUUUGGACCAGACCAUCCCCAGUGGAGGCUCAGAGCCAAAAUGGACUGAAUUCCCUGAAGAGACAUCUGUUCAUCCAUAUGCAGCCCCUUCCUCAGGAG
rnacentral:lncRNA from 1 species